rnacentral:rRNA from 1 species
UACAGAGGGUGCGAGCGUUGUCCGGAAUCACUGGGCGUAAAGGGCGCGUAGGUGGCCCGGUCAGUCCGUGGUGAAAGCGCGGGGCUCAACCCCGCGUCGGCCAUGGAUACUGCUGGGCUGGAGCACUGUAGAGGCAGGCGGAAUUCCCGGUGUAGCGGUGGAAUGCGUAGAGAUCCGGAAGAACACCGGUGGCGAAGGCGGCCGGCUGGGCAGUUGCUGACACUGAGGCGCGAGAGCGUGGGGAGCAAACAGG